rnacentral:rRNA from 1 species
UACGUAGGGGGCAAGCGUUGUCCGGAAUCAUUGGGCGUAAAGAGCGCGUAGGCGGUCCGGUAAGUCGGUUGUGAAAACUGGGGGCUCAACCCUCAGAGGCCGACCGAUACUGUCGGGCUAGAGUCCGGAAGAGGCGAGUGGAAUUCCUGGUGUAGCGGUGAAAUGCGUAGAUAUCUGGAGGAACACCGGUGGCGAAGGCGGCAUCCUGGACCAUAACUGACACUGAUAAGCGAAAGCCAGGGGAGCAAACGGG